AUGCACGCUGGCGGCGUGCCUAAUACAUGCAAGUCGAGCGAACGGACGAGAAGCUUGCUUCUCUGAUGUUAGCGGCGGACGGGUGAGUAACACGUGGAUAACCUACCUAUAAGACUGGGAUAACUUCGGGAAACCGGAGCUAAUACCGGAUAAUAUUUUGAACCGCAUGGUUCAAAAGUGAAAGACGGUAUUGCUGUCACUUAUAGAUGGAUCCGCGCUGCAUUAGCUAGUUGGUAAGGUAACGGCUUACCAAGGCAACGAUGCAUAGCCGACCUGAGAGGGUGAUCGGCCACACUGGAACUGAGACACGGUCCAGACUCCUACGGGAGGCAGCAGUAGGGAAUCUUCCGCAAUGGGCGAAAGCCUGACGGAGCAACGCCGCGUGAGUGAUGAAGGUCUUCGGAUCGUAAAACUCUGUUAUUAGGGAAGAACAUAUGUGUAAGUAACUGUGCACAUCUUGACGGUACCUAAUCAGAAAGCCACGGCUAACUACGUG
rnacentral:rRNA from 1 species